rnacentral:tRNA from 1 species
CUCUAGCUGGGUCGAGCGGCUAGGACUCCUGGUUUUCACCCAGGCUGCUCAGGUUCCAUUCCUGAGCAGGGAA